rnacentral:rRNA from 1 species
UUACUGCGAAGGGGGGACGGAGAAGGCUAUGUUGGCCGGGCGACGGUUGUCCCGGUUUAAGCGUGUAGGCUGGUUUUCCAGGCAAAUCCGGAAAAUCAAGGCUGAGGCGUGAUGACGAGGCACUACGGUGCUGAAGCAACAAAUGCCCUGCUUCCAGGAAAAGCCUCUAAGCAUCAGGUAACAUCAAAUCGUACCCCAAACCGACACAGGUGGUCAGGUAGAGAAUACCAAGGCGCUUGAGAGAACUCGGGUGAAGGAACUAGGCAAAAUGGUGCCGUAACUUCGGGAGAAGGCACGCUGAUAUGUAGGUGAAGUCCCUUGCGGAUGGAGCUGAAAUCAGUCGAAGAUACCAGCUGGCUGCAACUGUUUAUUAAAAACACAGCACUGUGCAAACACGAAAGUGGACGUAUACGGUGUGACGCCUGCCCGGUGCCGGAAGGUUAAUUGAUGGGGUCAGCGCAAGCGAAGCUCUUGAUCGAAGCCCCGGUAAACGGCGGCCGUAACUAUAACGGUCCUAAGGUAGCGAAAUUCCUUGUCGGGUAAGUUCCGACCUGCACGAAUGGCGUAAUGAUGGCCAGGCUGUCUCCACCCGAGACUCAGUGAAAUUGAACUCGCUGUGAAGAUGCAGUGUACCCGCGGCAAGACGGAAAGACCCCGUGAACCUUUACUAUAGCUUGACACUGAACAUUGAGCCUUGAUGUGUAGGAUAGGUGGGAGGCUUUGAAGUGUGGACGCCAGUCUGCAUGGAGCCGGCCUUGAAAUACCACCCUUUAAUGUUUGAUGUUCUAACGUGGACCCGUGAUCCGGGUUGCGGACAGUGUCUGGUGGGUAGUUUGACUGGGGCGGUCUCCUCCUAAAGAGUAACGGAGGAGCACGAAGGUUGGCUAAUCCUGGUCGGACAUCAGGAGGUUAGUGCAAUGGCAUAAGCCAGCUUGACUGCGAGCGUGACGGCGCGAGCAGGUGCGAAAGCAGGUCAUAGUGAUCCGGUGGUUCUGAAUGGAAGGGCCAUCGCUCAACGGAUAAAAGGUACUCCGGGGAUAACAGGCUGAUACCGCCCAAGAGUUCAUAUCGACGGCGGUGUUUGGCACCUCGAUGUCGGCUCAUCACAUCCUGGGGCUGAAGUAGGUCCCAAGGGUAUGGCUGUUCGCCAUUUAAAGUGGUACGCGAGCUGGGUUUAGAACGUCGUGAGACAGUUCGGUCCCUAUCUGCCGUGGGCGCUGGAGAACUGAGGGGGGCUGCUCCUAGUACGAGAGGACCGGAGUGGACGCAUCACUGGUGUUCGGGUUGUCAUGCCAAUGGCACUGCCCGGUAGCUAAAUGCGGAAGAGAUAAGUGCUGAAAGCAUCUAAGCACGAAACUUGCCCCGAGAUGAGUUCUCCCUGACCCUUUAAGGGUCCUGAAGGAACGUUGAAGACGACGACGUUGAUAGGCCGGGUGUGUAAGCGCAGCGAUGCGUUGAGCUAACCGGUACUAAUGAACCGUGAGG